rnacentral:rRNA from 1 species
AGUGAACGCUGGCGGUAGGCCUAACACAUGCAAGUCGAACGGCAGCACAGUAAGAGCUUGCUCUUACGUGUGUCGAGUGGCGGACGGGUGAGGAAUACAUCGGAAUCUACUUUUUCGUGGGGGAUAACGUAGGGAAACUUACGCUAAUACCGCAUACGACCUACUGGUGAAAGCAGGGGAUCUUCGGACCUUGCGCGAUUGAAUGAGCCGAUGUCGGAUUAGCUAGUUGGCGGGGUAAAGGCCCACCAAGGCGACGAUCCGUAUCUGGUCUGAGAGGAUGAUCAGACACACUGGAAGUGAGACACGGUACAGACUCCUACGGGAGGAAGCAGUGGGGAAUAUUAGACAAUGGGCGCAAGCCUGAUCCAGCAAUACCGCGUGGGUGAAGAAGGACUUAGGGUUGUAAAGCCCUUUUGUUGGGAAAGAAAAGCAGCAGGUUAACACCCCGCUGUUCUGACGGUACCCAAAGAAUAAGCACCGGCUAACUUCGUG